UUGUUCCAAAAUUAAGAACCUGGGUCCGAGUUCGUUUUUGUCUGUUUGCCCUCGUGUCGGGAAAAUUACCCUGGCUGGAAAGAGCUGUGGUCGUGCCUCACUGAAAGUCGUUCAUCUUGAAAGGUUAACUGCUGGAGUCGGAGCAAUGGGAAACACAGGUGCAGGAAAGUUUCGAGUUAUUUCAGAUCUCUGAGCGAGCAGUCUGUUUCGUUUGGUGAAGAAUAAAGAGAGGAAAGAAGCUCAACUGCAGCGGUUUUCAGAUGCAGUUCCCAAGGGGAUGGUGUUGAAACCAGAGCAGAAAAUUAAAACUUUGGCCCUGAGGGGAGCAGAGAGGUGGGGGGCCUGGGUGAAGGAGGUGCUUCCCCGUUUCAAGGCCAUCAUUUGUUUUUACAACGGAAAAUCCUGCCAAAGCUUCUCUGCACUACUUUCCAGACAAGUCCAGGAAUAGCAGCACAGGGAUGCCUGCUUCCUCUGUCUUGUCUCUGCAGGGAGGAAGAAUCUACCGUGACCCCCGGGCUUCCAUGGUGACUCCUCCAGCCGUGACCCUGAAAUGAAACACUGAGCUUCAUGGAAAACAGUUGCAGUCUACCUUGGAAAUGUAGGCAGAUUUGGCCUCUGGUCAGUGAUCUCCUCCUUCAAGACAUAUUUAUGAGACAUUUUGUUACAGAGCAUUACGAAACUUUACAGACCAGCAAAGGAGAGAAACAGAGAAAACUAAAGAGACAGCAAACACAUUAAAGAUGUUUCGAUUUUGUGCAAAUGAGGUCAGGUGUGUGUCCGUAUCUUUCAAACCUUUGCUCAAUUAAAGACACGUUUUACUUUUAUAACACAGACUAAUGUAUGUACACACUACUGUUGAGUUUUUCACUUAAAGAUCUUUGUUGUAAUAUUAUUGUGUAUCCCUGAGAUGUUGUAGAUGAGAUGUUCUGAAGAACUCUUUGAAUCCUACAGCACAAACACUUCGUGACAGUCUAAUAAUACCAUCACUGCUUUUAGACAUUCAAAGUAUUGGCAUGUUAUCCAUCUGGGCAUCUCAUUGUGAUGACCAUAAUUUG